CUGUACCUGUCUGUUGCCGAAGCAUGAUGGGCAGCUAUCCUUGAGAAGUUGGAAGGCAAGGCUGUAGCCCUCCGUGGUUUGAGAGCUGUGCAGCAACACAGCAAUAGGCACGGCACCUGCUUUUGUGACGGCGCAUGUGAUGGUGGUGCUGCUGCGUCAAGUUUUGCCAGCAAAUGACCUUCUGCAAGUGUCGCUGACAGAAUGUUCUUCCUGCUUUUUUUAUCUAUAUUGCAAUAAAUAGCUUUUGAGCAAGAUCUUUA